AUUGAACGCUGGCGGCAUGCUUUACACAUGCAAGUCGAACGGUAACAGCACUUCGGUGGCUGACGAGUGGCGAACGGGUGAGUAAUACAUCGGAACGUGCCUAGUAGUGUGGGAUAACUACUCGAAAGAGUAGCUAAUACCGCAUGAGAUCUAAGGAUGAAAGCAGGGGACCUUCGGGCCUUGCGCUACUAGAGCGGCUGAUGGCAGAUUAGGUAGUUGGUGGGAUAAAAGCUUACCAAGCCGACGAUCUGUAGCUGGUCUGAGAGGACGACCAGCCACACUGGGACUGAGACACGGCCCAGACUCCUACGGGAGGCAGCAGUGGGGAAUUUUGGACAAAGGGCGCAAGCCUGAUCCAGCAAUGCCGCGUGCAGGAUGAAGGCCUUCGGGUUGUAAACUGCUUUUGUACGGAACGAAAAGCCCUCUUCUAAUACAGGAGGGUCAUGACGGUACCGUAAGAAUAAGCACCGGCUAACUACGUG
rnacentral:rRNA from 1 species